rnacentral:rRNA from 1 species
CCCCAGGUGAACCUGAAGGAGGGAUCAGUGAACCAAGUAGACGCCCGGUACUAACUCACCGGAGAUGUUCAUAACCCUCUNNGCUUGUCCGACUCUGUUGCCUCCGGGGCGACCCCGUGCCUUCGGGCGGGGGCCUCCGGGAUGGACACCUUCAAAUCUCUUGUCGUAAACUGUUAGACAGUCUGAGUAAAACCUCUAAUUAUAUAAUACUUAAAACUUCUUAACCAAGCGGUAUUCUCUGUGGUUCUGGACAUGCGAGUGAAGAAGCGACAGCCGAAAUGGCGAUAAGUAAUGUGAAUGUGACAGAAUUCAGUGAAUACAUGCGAAUCUUGUGAAGCGACAACAUGUGGCGCCGCCCUGGUAUUUCCGGGGGGCACAUGCCUCUGUUCGCGAGCGUCAUUUCACCAUCUACAAGCCCUACGCUUGGUAUUGGNCUACGCGCGGUACCGCGCGCGUGCCUCUCAAAUGCGAUCCGGGCUUGGNUCGCUUCGCUGUCUCCCUAAGCGUUAGUGGAAACUAACUCUCGUUAAAAGGGUGUAUCGUGGAGGUACACGCCGUAUAAACCAACCCCAUUUCUAAGGAUGACCUCGGAUCAGGUAGGAUA